rnacentral:rRNA from 1 species
UACGUAGGGAGCAAGCGUUGUUCGGAUUUACUGGGCGUAAAGGGCGCGUAGGCGGCUAAUUAAGUCGGCUGUGAAAUCUCCGAGCUUAACUCGGAACGGUCAGCUGAUACUGAUCUGCUAGAGUGCGGAAGGGGCAAUCGGAAUUCUUGGUGUAGCGGUGAAAUGCGUAGAUAUCAAGAGGAACCCCGGAGGUGAAGACGGGUUGCUGGGCCGACACUGACGCUGAGUGCGCGAAAGCCAGGGGAGCAAACGGG